rnacentral:rRNA from 1 species
GGCGAACGCUGGCGGCGUGCUUAACACAUGCAAGUCGAACGGAAAGGCCCUGCUUUUGUGGGGUGCUCGAGUGGCGAACGGGUGAGUAACACGUGAGUAACCUGCCCUUGACUUUGGGAUAACUUCAGGAAACUGGGGCUAAUACCGGAUAGGAGCUCCUGCUGCAUGGUGGGGGUUGGAAAGUUUCGGCGGUUGGGGAUGGACUCGCGGCUUAUCAGCUUGUUGGUGGGGUAGUGGCUUACCAAGGCUUUGACGGGUAGCCGGCCUGAGAGGGUGACCAGCCACAUCGUGACUAAGAUACGGCCCAGUCUCCUACAGGAGGCAGGAGUGGGGAAUAUUACACAAUAAGCGGAAGCCGGAUACAGCAUCGCCGCGUGCGGAAUGACGGCCUACGGGUUGUAAACCGCUUUCGCCUGUAACGAGGCGUGAGUGACGGUAAUGGGUAAAGAAGCACCGGCUAACUACGUG